rnacentral:rRNA from 1 species
ACGUAGGGGGCAAGCGUUGAUCGGAAUCACUGGGCGUAAAGCGUGCGCAGGCGGUUGUGCAAGACAGAUGUGAAAUCCCCGGGCUCAACCUGGGAACUGCAUUUGAGACUGUAGGGCUUGAGUGCGGCAGAGGGGGGUGGAAUUCCACGUGUAGCAGUGAAAUGCGUAGAGAUGUGGAGGAACACCGAUGGCGAAGGCAGCCCCCUGGGUCGACACUGACGCUCAUGCACGAAAGCGUGGGGAGCAAACAG